UGUUCUGUUGUCAUGAACAUGACGAUCAUUAAUCUGAUUUCAUUAAUGUUUUUUUUUUUCUAAAUGCACAUUUGAUAAACAAUUGCCCUGGAAAAUCACUGGCCUAAAAAAAAAAAAUAUUUGUUUUUAUGCAAAGGAAGAGACGCCAGCGCUAUCAUAGAGGAUCUACUGGUCAAACAUAAGCUGGCACCAGCGAGACGCACACUAUCACCCUGACAGGCGCCACUCCACCCCACUCCCCCUCGCUCCCUCUCUCCUGGUCUAGGACCCACAUGCAGUCCGUUCAACCCCAAAAGAGUUCUCGAGGGCGCAGCUUUAAAACUGCCUCUGCUGGCAUCCUCACAUCCGGAUAUAAAACACAGGAUUUACUGCAGCGAUG